AUACGUAGGUGGCAAGCGUUGCCCGGAAUUAUUGGGCGUAAAGCGCGCGCAGGCGGUCCUUUAAGUCUGAUGUGAAAGCCCACGGCUCAACCGUGGAGGGUCAUUGGAAACUGGGGGACUUGAGUGCAGAAGAGGAAAGUGGAAUUCCAAGUGUAGCGGUGAAAUGCGUAGAGAUUUGGAGGAACACCAGUGGCGAAGGCGACUUUCUGGUCUGUAACUGACGCUGAGGCGCGAAAGCGUGGGGAGCAAACAGGAUUAGAUACCCUGGUAGUCCACGCCGUAAACGAUGAGUGCUAAGUGUUAGGGGGUUUCCGCCCCUUAGUGCUGCAGCUAACGCAUUAAGCACUCCGCCUGGGGAGUACGGUCGCAAGACUGAAACUCAAAGGAAUUGACGGGG
rnacentral:rRNA from 1 species